rnacentral:rRNA from 1 species
AUUGAACGCUGGCGGCAGGCCUAACACAUGCAAGUCGAGCGGAUGAAGGGAGCUUGCUCCUGGAUUCAGCGGCGGACGGGUGAGUAAUGCCUAGGAAUCUGCCUGGUAGUGGGGGAUAACGUCCGGAAACGGGCGCUAAUACCGCAUACGUCCUGAGGGAGAAAGUGGGGGAUCUUCGGACCUCACGCUAUCAGAUGAGCCUAGGUCGGAUUAGCUAGUUGGUGGGGUAAAGGCCUACCAAGGUGACGAUCCGUAACUGGUCUGAGAGGAUGAUCAGUCACACUGGAACUGAGACACGGUCCAGACUCCUGCGGGAGGCAGCAGUGGGGAAUAUUGGACAAUGGGCGAAAGCCUGAUCCAGCCAUGCCGCGUGUGUGAAGAAGGUCUUCGGAUUGUAAAGCACUUUAAGUUGGGAGGAAGGGCAGUAAGUUAAUACCUUGCUGUUUUGACGUUACCAACAGAAUAAGCACCGGCUAACUUCGUG